rnacentral:snRNA from 1 species
GUUGCUGGAUCCAGCGACCA